CCUACGGGUGGCAGCAGUGGGGAAUAUUGGGCAAUGGGCGCAAGCCUGACCCAGCAACGCCGCGUGAAGGAAGAAGGCUCUCGGGUUGUAAACUUCUUUUCUCAGGGACGAAACAAGUGACGGUACCUGAUGAAUAAGCCACGGCUAACUACGUGCCAGCAGCCGCGGUAAUACGUAGGUGGCAAGCGUUAUCCGGAUUUACUGGGUGUAAAGGGCGUGUAGGCGGGACGGCAAGUCAGAUGUGAAAAUCACGGGCUCAACCUUUGUCCUGCAUUUGACACUGUAGUUCUUGAGUACUGGAGAGGCAGGCGGAAUUCCGAGUGUAGCGGUGAAAUGCGUAGAUAUUAGGAGGAACACCAGUGGCGAAGGCGGUCUGCUGGACAGCAACUGACGCUGAGGCGCGAAAGCGUGGGGAGCAAACAGGAUUAGAUACCCGAGUAGUC
rnacentral:rRNA from 1 species